AACAUUUAGUUUUAAAAAACCU
rnacentral:piRNA from 1 species